GGAAAAUAUUGGGAGAUGCUUCUUGAAUAAUUAGUUUCAAUGGCAUCCAGAAAAAUGAUGCACAGGGAAUGCUAAAAACCAAGGAACUUCGUAAAAAUAAAAAAAGGUUGGAAAAGAAAAUGUAGCUUACAACAAGAAAAGAAAGAGAGCUGUUAUUUGGACGCAUUGAAAGUUAUCUCUUGGGCGUUGAGGAUGCUUAUCUCAGAAAAUGCAAAAAAUCAAGGAACUUCGUAAAAAGAAGAUCGAAGGGGUGCAACAAGAGAAGAAGUAAGUAUGUUGCUUGGACUCAUUGAUAUCUAAGGGC